rnacentral:rRNA from 1 species
GUGCCAGCCGCCGCGGUAAUACGUAGGUGGCAAGCGUUGUCCGGAUUUAUUGGGCGUAAAGCGAGCGCAGGCGGUUUUUUAAGUCUGAUGUGAAAGCCUUCGGCUCAACCGAAGAAGUGCAUCGGAAACUGGGAAACUUGAGUGCAGAAGAGGACAGUGGAACUCCAUGUGUAGCGGUGAAAUGCGUAGAUAUAUGGAAGAACACCAGUGGCGAAGGCGGCUGUCUGGUCUGUAACUGACGCUGAGGCUCGAAAGUAUGGGUAGCAAACAGGAUUAGAUACCCUGGUAGUCCAUACCGUAAACGAUGAAUGCUAAGUGUUGGAGGGUUUCCGCCCUUCAGUGCUGCAGCUAACGCAUUAAGCAUUCCGCCUGGGGAGUACGGCCGCAAGGCUGAAACUCAAAGGAAUUGACGGGGGCCCGCACAAGCGGUGGAGCAUGUGGUUUAAUUCGAAGCUACGCGAAGAACCUUACCAGGUCUUGACAUACUAUGCAAAUCUAAGAGAUUAGACGUUCCCUUCGGGGACAUGGAUACAGGUGGUGCAUGGUUGUCGUCAGCUCGUGUCGUGAGAUGUUGGGUUAAGUCCCGCAACGAGCGCAACCCUUAUUAUCAGUUGCCAGCAUUAAGUUGGGCACUCUGGUGAGACUGCCGGUGACAAACCGGAGGAAGGUGGGGAUGACGUCAAAUCAUCAUGCCCCUUAUGGCCUGGGCUACACACGUGCUACAAUGGAUGGUACAACGAGUUGCGAACUCGCGAGAGUAAGCUAAUCUCUUAAAGCCAUUCUCAGUUCGGAUUGUAGGCUGCAACUCGCCUACAUGAAGUCGGAAUCGCUAGUAAUCGCGGAUCAGCAUGCCACGGUGAAUACGUCCCCGGGCCUUGUACACACCGCCCGU